GUUAAACAAGUGCUUGAAGGCAGUAUGCUUGGUAAAAGUCAUCGCCAUUCUCUAAUCUUGAGUACCCAGGGACACGAUACACUGCGGAAGGCUGCAGGGACCUCUGCCCAGGAAAGCCAGGCUUGCAUGAAGGAAAUGAUUUCCUAUGAUUCUGCUUACUGCUUAAAAAAAUUAAUCAAGUUUUCUGCCUGACAAGAGCCAGAAAAACUUCAUCUCUUUUACAAGAAACAUUGAGAUUCCUGUAAAAUUAAGAAAUCACACAAUUUGAUGGUCUACAUUAUCUAAAGCAAAUGAGACUUCUAUUUGGAACAAAGACUACCUUGUUGGGAAAUGAGUCUGCAAGUUAAAGUGUUUUCUGGAUCCAGUAUCUGCCGGAGGAGCCCCACCUUCUGCUACUAUUAUGUUCUUCAGAUGAGUAGAAGAGAGUGGGGAGGGAGAGAGCAGGAAGAAGAAAGGAAGAAUAAUGUCUUGAAAUUGUUUUCUAAGGAUAAUGGUCUCCAGCUUCGUCAAUGUUCCUGCAAAGGACAUGAUGCUGACUUUGAAGAUGCAAGCUUCCACAUCUACAGCCUCAAGGAAACAAAUUCAGCCAACCAACUGAGGGAGCUUUCCUUGUCCUGCCUCAAGAUGAGAUCACAGUCUGCCCAACACCAUGAUUUAGGCCUUGUGACACCUGGUAUGGAAGACCCAGUUAAGUUCUCUCCAAACUCUUGACCCACAGAACCUGUGAGAAAAUAUAUGGAUAUUAUUUUAAACUGCUAAAUUUGUAGUAAUUUGUUAUGCAGCAAUAAAAAAAACUAAUGCAAGGAGAUA
rnacentral:lncRNA from 1 species